rnacentral:rRNA from 1 species
AACGAACGCUGGCGGCAUGCCUAACACAUGCAAGUCGAACGAAGCCUUCGGGCUUAGUGGCGCACGGGUGCGUAACACGUGGGAAUCUGCCCUUUGGUUCGGAAUAACAGUUAGAAAUGACUGCUAAUACCGGAUAAUGACGUAAGUCCAAAGAUUUAUCGCCGAAGGAUGAGCCCGCGUAGGAUUAGGUAGUUGGUGGGGUAAUGGCCCACCAAGCCGACGAUCCUUAGCUGGUCUGAGAGGAUGAUCAGCCACACUGGGACUGAGACACGGCCCAGACUCCUACGGGAGGCAGCAGUGGGAAUAUUGGACAAUGGGCGCAAGCCUGAUCCAGCAAUGCCGCGUGGGUGAAGAAGGCCUGCGGUUGUAAGCCUUAAGCGGGAGGAAGCGGGUGUGAAUAGCGCCUCGGGUGACGUUACCGCAGAAUAAGCACCGGCUAACUCCGUGCCAGCAGCCGCGGUAAU